rnacentral:rRNA from 1 species
UGAGGAAUAUUGCCCAAUGGGGGAAACCCUGAGGCAGCAACGCCGCGUGAACGAAGACGGCCUUCGGGUUGUAAAGUUCUUUUCUGGGGGACGAAACAGACGGUACCCCAGGAAUAAGUUCCGGCUAACUACGUGCCAGCAGCCGCGGUAAAACGUAGGGGACAAGCGUUAUCCGGAUUUACUGGGCGUAAAGCGCACGUAGGCGGACUGGUAAGUUGGCCGUGAAAGCUCCCGGCUUAACUGGGAGAGGUCGGACAAAACUGCCAGACUUGAGGCUGAGAGAGGAGAGCGGAAUUCCCGGUGUAGUGGUGGAAUGCGUAGAUAUCGGGAGGAACACCAGUGGCGAAGGCGGCUCUCUGGCUCAGAACUGACGCUGAGGUGCGAAAGCGUGGGGAGCGAACGGGAUUAGAUACCCCGGUAGUCCACGCUGUAAACGAUGGAUACCAGGUGUAGGGGGUCAUUAACCCCCCUUGUGCCGCAGCUAACGCGUUAAGUAUCCCGCCUGGGGACUACGGCCGCAAGGUUAAAACUCAAAGGAAUU